GUUAUUUCCAAGGUCCUUAUUGGCUGACGAAUGCAGCUCAGCCUUGUUCUUUUCUAUUCUCUUAAAGUAUUCUUUGAGGAGAGUUUUCACAUGAGGAAAGUGCUUCAGAGAGGAAAAUAUGUCAGGACUGAAAUAAAUACUGUAUGGACAAAUGGAUGGAACUGAUAAAACAAACAAACAAACAAAAAACUGAACAAAAUGGAAGGAAAUCACUGGGAGAUAUUUCCGAAGAAUCUCAUGGCCCUGGUUCCCACGAGCAUGUCACUAACCAUUUCCUGGGCCUUAUCACCGGGAGGAAAAAAAGGAGCGCCUUUGAAAAGUGGAAACAAAACAUCAGGCCCCAUUGUUGUGUGACUUCCCCGGCCACAAUCUGGGCUCUCCAUCGCUCUACACGCGGAGACUACAAACACGCCCUAAUACAGAUACUCCAAUCGGCAAUUUGACCAGGACAUUUAUUGUUCUGUAUCUGCAAUCUCUGCUGCGUGUUUGUGGCUUUUAAAUCAUCUGUUUUUUUUUUUUUUAUUACUCUUUCCAGGCUCAGAGCAAGUCAAAAGCCUCUGAUGGCGGUCAACACCGAGAGAAGCGACUGAGUCAGUUUGCAAACUCCUGUGUGCCUUCUUGUGGGGAGUUCACAGUGGAGGAGGCAGCCUUGCUCACCUUUUUCUGUCUUUUCAACUUCACUCUGUCCUCUUGUUCCCCUUCCCCAGCUCUAGACCCUCUUUUCCUCCUCUCGUUUCACCUUCUCUCUUUCUUCAGUUCUGCCUUGGUCUGUCCCUCUUUGAUUCAUUUGUCAACUCUUGCUCCUACUUAAAGGAUUGGC
rnacentral:lncRNA from 1 species